GUAAAGAAAAGGAAUUUUUUGAAUUAGUUACAUUUUUUGAUUUUUAAAAAUAAGUAUCCCCAUCCUUAAAACGGAUAUCUAUAAUUAGAUAUAUAUCUUUAUAUGAGUUGAAUCUAUAAGUCGAUAUUACAUCUUGAAAUCUAUUAAGUUUUUCAACUUUUCAAUAUCGAGCCUCUCAACUGAACUAAUCUAAAAGAAGAACAUGCAUGUCUAUCCAUCCAUAAAAUUUCAAAGGAAACGUGCUUUCAUACAUAAGAUCCAUGACCAGUCGUAACGAAUUCCAAGAAUUUUUAUCAUUAAUCGAUCUGUUCCAAUCUCUCGGAGGAAGAAACGUGAAACAUUUCACGGUCGUGCAAGCCGAGUCUGAUCACGAGCCGGUCUAAUCUACUAGGAGUCGGUAAGAGUUUUCUCGAUAUUUAGCACUUUCUGUCCUCUUAAUUUACGAGAGUGUUCGUUUGUGCCGUGAGUGCCGCCAAUAUUUCCAGAAAAUAUUUCACUCCGUCACGAAUAAACUAUACGUGAGUGAAUUUCUUUUUUAUUGGAUAAGAUUUAGAAAUUGAUGUUGUAACUUUCUUGUGAAACUAGAAUAAAAAUGGUUCGUUGGAGAAUAAUGAUCAAUUUAUUUGAUCUAACACAGAUAGAUCUAUGGCACGUGAAUUAUAGGUUAUAAUUUUUUUUAUAUGUCAUAAUAGAAGUAAAAAAUUUGUUUUUACAG